CUGAAUGUUGAGUGAAGACCAUCUUGUACUCUUCUUCCUCCUCUCCCAACCUCCAGGACAAGCUAGUGUUGUCCCUUCUCCCUUAGGAAGUAUCCCUCACUUUGCAAGUUUUUCCACACUUAGCCUGAUUGAAUUAAAUUUCAGCAUCCCUGGGUAAUAUACCUUUCACAGAGUUAGGAAAUUUUCUAAAUGAAACUGAAAAAUGGUCUAUGCAAACCCCCCAUUUUAUGGGAACACUGAGGCUUAAAGAGGUACAUAGGGCUACCAGCUGGCAAGUUGGGGUCCACAAUGUUACACAACUCUCAACUUAGUCUCUUUUAAUCUCUUUAUGUGAGUCUAGGGAGUCCCUUUUAACAAAAAAAUUCAACUACACUUGAUUCUUGAACAACACAUGUUUAAACUGCACAGGUCUACCUCCACAUGAGGUUUUGUUUUUUUUUUUCAUUAAAUACAAUCCAUUGGUCCUCUAUGUCUGCAGAUUUUCAGAUCUGUGAAUUCAACUGCAGAUUGGAAAUAAUAUUUUUGCAUUUCAAACCACAGUUUCCCAACCAUGGAUUCCCUACUGGAUGGAAAAUAUUGUUCUGGAUCCGUGGUUGGUUGAAUCUGCAGAUCCAAAGGGCCAGCUAUAGAAUCAAAAGUGACAUGUGGGUUUUGUGACUAUGCAGCAGUCACACCCCUAACACUCAAAUUGUUCAGGGGUCAACUAUGUAUGGAAGGAGAGGGAGAUUUAAGAGAAAGAAUAAGAAAAUUUAAUGAUGUUAAGGAUUUGUCCACCGUUUCUCUCAGUUACUUUGUUCUUCAAGGUAAAGUAAGUCCUCCCCCUUAUCUGUUGGGGAUAUGUUCCACGACCCCUCGUGGAUGCCUGAAACCUUGGACAGUACCAAACCCUGUAUAUAUAUAUUACACUUUUCCUACACAUUUUCUACUGUUGUAAAGUUCAGUUUAUAAAUUAGGCACAGUAAGAGAUUAACAAUAAUAACUGAAAAUAAAAUAGAACAGUUAUAACAAUAUGCUAUAAUAAAACUUGUGUGAAUGUGAUCUCUCUCUGAUAACCCAUCUGGCUACCAAGUGACUAAUGGGCAGGGGGCACACAGCCUGGACAUGCUCCUGAGUCCAGUCCCAGGCAGGACAUAGUGGGAAUGCUUAAGAUUUCAUCAUGUUGUUCAGAAUAGGUCACAGUUUAAAAUUUAAGAAUUGUUUAUUUCUAGAAUUUCCCAUUUAAUAUUUUUGGACCAUGGUUGACCACGGGUAAUUGAAACCUCAGGAAGCGAAACAGCAGUUAAGGAGGACUACUCUGUGUGUGACUGGAGACAACCCUGUUUUUUUUUUUCCUGCUGCUCUCUCAGUUCUCAUGUGCCUUUCUCACUGCGAUCACCUCGCUACUGUAGUGUGAUUCUGGCAUUUCAAGAUCUGUAUCUUUGGUACAACCCGACUGUCAAAGCCCAAGCCAGCCAUUUCUCUGGUACUCAAUCAGAGAAGUCAUGUGUUUGAAAAUCAAACUCAGUGUUUUCAUGGAAAAUAUAAAUAAGUAACUUGAAGUGCAUAUGGUCAACUAUGAAUCAAGGAUGAGUUUCUGAACAUUUCUAAUGGUCUUUUUUCUUAUCUUCAAAUGUGGAAAAUAUGCCAAUAUUUCUUAAGAAACCUUGAUAGACACAAGUGGAGCUUAGCACGGAUGUGUAUUAAAUGUGCUUAUUUCCACUGAGUACUCAGGAAUCUCAGUAAAUGCUCCUCUCACACCCCCCACCAGUUCUGUCCGCAAUUAAAACUACCACAAUAACCCCCUGAAAAAAAA